rnacentral:rRNA from 1 species
UACGUAGGGGGCGAAGCGUUGUCCGGAUUUAUUGGGCGUAAAGAGCGUGUAGGCGGCCAGGGAGGUCCGUUGUGAAAACUCGAGGCUCAACCUCGAGACGCCGAUGGAAACCCCCUGGCUAGAGUCCGGAAGAGGAGAGUGGAAUUCCUGGUGUAGCGGUGAAAUGCGCAGAUAUCAGGAGGAACACCGGUGGCGAAGGCGGGUCUCGUGGGCCGAUGACUGACGCUGGAGGAGCGAAAGCGUGGGGAGCGAACAGG